rnacentral:misc_RNA from 1 species
AUAUAUCAACCUCUACAGCUUUUGCUUGUUUGAGUGUUGGAUGUGGGGGUUUAUCUUUUUGCUGGCCUUUUAUGAGGCCAGCUCCCCUGAAAUUCAUUAGCAGAACAAUUUGUUAACCUGUUCAUCGGUGUGAUAACUAUCUACGCUAUUGAUGGAAAACAGUUCAGCUUCUAAUAGUCCAUUGAGUUGGACAAUUUUUUAUUAUUA